CCCCGCCUCUUGGGCGACUCCGGUGCGCCUUAAAGGCGCAGGGUUCCCCAGCUAUUUCUCUCUGCAUGCUCAGUACAGCCAAGAGGAGCACAGGAUGUGGUAUUCUGCUCAGGGCUGCUGAAUAAACCGACAUCUGGUCGUCUAGGUAGCAGUUCAAAGGACUGAAACGAAGCGGGAACAGAGUGUUGGAGCAGCAACUUCUAAUGUCCAGUAAUAAAAGCAUGAUUCCCCUCUCAGUGUAGAGAAGAAACUGUCUCCUGGGAAACUUCAAAUCUGCUUGAACAAGAAUACCACCCGAGGCUCAGAAUUUGUGACUCAACUGGAGCUGUCACUUGACCUCCAUUUAAUAAAGAGAUUUACACACGUGCAACAAUUAAAUGUUUCAACUUGAAAGAUGGAAGAAGGUCCCCUUAGCUCAGAUUAAUGAUUUGGUGCAAGUGAAAUAAAGUGCUUUCUGACAGCUUGUGUACAGAAAA